rnacentral:rRNA from 1 species
GACAGAGGGUGCAAACGUUGUUCGGAAUUAUUGGGCGUAAAGAGCUCGUAGGCGGUGUGUCACGUCGGCCGUGAAAACCUGGGGCUUAACUCUGGGCGUGCGGUCGAUACGGGCAUCACUAGAGUUCGGCAGGGGAGACUGGAAUUCCUGGUGUAGCGGUGAAAUGCGCAGAUAUCAGGAGGAACACCGGUGGCGAAGGCGGGUCUCUGGGCCGAUACUGACGCUGAUAGCGCGAAAGCCAGGGGAGCAAACGGG